AUACGGAGGGUGCGAGCGUUAAUCGGAAUUACUGGGCGUAAAGCGCGCGCAGGCGGUUAGAUCAGUCGGGUGUGAAAGCCCCGAGCUUAACUUGGGAACUGCAUUCGAUACUGUCUAGCUAGAGUAUGGUAGAGGGAAGCGGAAUUCCGGGUGUAGCGGUGAAAUGCGUAGAUAUCCGGAGGAACACCAGUGGCGAAGGCGGCUUCCUGGACCAAUACUGACGCUCAGGCGCGAAAGCGUGGGUAGCAAACAGGAUUAGAAACCCCAGUAGUCC
rnacentral:rRNA from 1 species